rnacentral:rRNA from 1 species
UUUAUGGAGAGUUUGAUCCUGGCUCAGGACGAACGCUGGCGGCGUGCCUAAUACAUGCAAGUCGAGCGGACCAAUUAGAAAGCUUGCUUUUUAAUUGGUUAGCGGCGGACGGGUGAGUAACACGUGGGUAA